UGCAAGAUGAUGAGGUUUACAUAUCUGAAUAGAUUAUGUUGAUUUCUUAACUGAAUUAGCCUUCAAAGUUCUCUGAUUGCC